rnacentral:misc_RNA from 1 species
UGCUUUAAUUUCUAUACUUCUCUUAUCUUCAUUCUGUUUUAACAUUAUUGACAAACCUUGGUACAUAUGUACUGAUUUCAUCCAUCUUCUUAUGCUAACAUGCCAACAUGGAAGGCUUUUCAAAUGGUAACCUUUGAAAUCUUAUUUUCAGUGUCAGUGUAAAGUUCUAGUUAAGGUGCCUGAAAUUUCUUUGUUAGAAAACAACAGAAGGAAAGUGAACGUAACGAUUAAAUGUAAAAUAAAAUUAAGUGUUAGAUAAAAUAUCUUCAAUAAAAAUGUUAUCUUUUGCUUAUUUGAUCAGAUAGAGGUCCUUUGGAGCAAAGG